GAUGAACGCUGGCGGCGUGCCUAAUACAUGCAAGUCGAGCGAACAGACGAGGAGCUUGCUCCUCUGACGUUAGCGGCGGACGGGUGAGUAACACGUGGAUAACCUACCUAUAAGACUGGGAUAACUUCGGGAAACCGGAGCUAAUACCGGAUAAUAUAUUGAACCGCAUGGUUCAAUAGUGAAAGACGGUUUUGCUGUCACUUAUAGAUGGAUCCGCGCCGCAUUAGCUAGUUGGUAAGGUAACGGCUUACCAAGGCAACGAUGCGUAGCCGACCUGAGAGGGUGAUCGGCCACACUGGAACUGAGACACGGUCCAGACGCCUGCGGGAGGCAGCAGUAGGGAAUCUUCCGCAAUGGGCGAAAGCCUGACGGAGCAACGCCGCGUGAGUGAUGAAGGUGUUCGGAUCGUAAAACUCUGUUAUUAGGGAAGAACAAAUGUGUAAGUAACUAUGCACGUCUUGACGGUACCUGAUCAGAAAGCCACGGCUAACUACGUG
rnacentral:rRNA from 1 species